GUGCCAGCAGCCGCGGUAACACGUAGGGUCCAAGCGUUGUCCGGAUUUAUUGGGCGUAAAGAGCUCGUAGGCGGCUUGGUAAGUCGAGUGUGAAAACUCUGGGCUCAACUCAGAGACGCCACUCGAUACUGCCAUGGCUUGAGUCCGGUAGGGGAGUGUGGAAUUCCCGGUGUAGCGGUGAAAUGCGCAGAUAUCGGGAGGAACACCAGUAGCGAAGGCGGCACUCUGGGCCGGAACUGACGCUGAGGAGCGAAAGCGUGGGGAGCGAACAGGAUUAGAUACCCUGGUAGUCC
rnacentral:rRNA from 1 species